UACGUAGGUGACAAGCGUUGUCCGGAUUUACUGGGCGUAAAGAGCGCGCAGGCGGUCGUUCAAGUCGAGUGUGAAAGCCCCCGGCUCAACUGGGGAGGGUCAUUCGAUACUGAUCGACUCAAAGGCAGGAGAGGGUAGUGGAAUUCCCGGUGUAGUGGUGAAAUGCGUAGAUAUCGGGAGGAUUUUCUAAGGAGACGGCGACCACCGAGAUCUACACUGACGCUGAGGUGCGAAAGCGUGGGUAGCAAACAGG
rnacentral:rRNA from 1 species